GGGAUCUAUGAGCUGACACCUAAUGAUAUGGUUUAACAAGUAAAAUGUAGGUUGGUGAUAUUUUGAGAUAUUAAUGCAUGCUUAUUCCCUCCUGUAUGUUCUUCUUCUUCUCUUCCCAUAUUAGCGGGUAGCACGGACAGGACAGAAAAGAAACACCUUACAAGAAGGCUGGCUGCUACAGUAAUAUUUAUAAUGACUCUUAUUAGUAGACUCUAAAUCCUUAGGAGGAGGGGCUUGCAGCAUCUCGACAGAAACAGGAAAGGAAAGGCUUUGGUUGCCUCUGAGGAGACUUCCCAGGCUGGACCUGAGCUGACACAGCUGCGUGUGUUCCUGUCUCCCCAUCCGACCCUCAGCUCCGUGAGAGCACUGACUUGGUCUUUUUUAUCCUCUACUCUGACCCCAACAUCUAGAAUAGUGCCUGAGGCAAAGCUGACAAUAAAUAUAUGUUAAAUGAAUUAAUAUAUGAGGAGGAGGCAAGAGAGAGAAAAAAGGACAUUGAGAGAGGACAGACUUCAGAGCCUUGGAGAAGGAGCCAAGAAGCUGCCCUGCAGGACAAGCUGGCAGGAUCUGUGGCCAUUUCCGCCAUUUCCUCACCAUCCGAAGGCCUGUCCCACUUUUCCCAUUGACUGCCACAUUGCUAAUAGAAGGGCAUUCAUUACAUCACCAUUUGGUGUCCACUAUGACCCCAGCUCUCACUUCUUGCCAGUUCUUGAUUUCUUCCUUGGGGAAUGUAAGCUUCAUGACGGCCGGGAAUUUGGUCUCACCGCUGUCACUUCUAGAACUGCACCGUCCAGUAUUGUAGCUACUAGCCACGUGUGGGUAGUGAGAAGCUGAAAAAUGACUGUCUCAAAUCAAAAUACACCAUAAGUGUAAAACACACAUGGAAUUUUAAGGACUUAGUAUUAAAAGAAAAAUGUAAAAUAACUCACUGAUAAUUUAUUACACUGGUUAUAUGUUAAAAUGAUAUUUGGUACAUAUUGGGUUAUAUAAAAUAUAUUAUUUAAAUGUAUUUCUCUUUUUUUAUAAACAAAUUGUGGUCUGCAAUGUGUGUGUUUAUGUGUGUGUGCCCGUGUGUGUGUGUGUGUGUGUGUAUCAGAUAGCACUGAUCUAAAAGAAAUGUCAGUGAACUUUUUCUGUAAAAGAUCAAAUAGUAAAUAUCUUAGGCUU
rnacentral:lncRNA from 1 species